UACGUAGGGUGCAAGCGUUAAUCGGAACUACUGGGCGUAAAGCGUGCGCAGGCGGUGAUGUAAGACAGGUGUGAAAUCCCCGGGCUUAACCUGGGAACUGCAUUUGUGACUGCAUCGCUGGAGUGCGGCAGAGGGGGGAUGGAAUUCCGCGUGUAGCAGUGAAAUGCGUAGAUAUGCGGAGGAACACCGAUGGCGAAGGCAAUCCCCUGGGCCUGCACUGACGCUCAUGCACGAAAGCGUGGGGAGCAAACAGG
rnacentral:rRNA from 1 species